UUAAAUGUUGUUUUGUUUAAUAUUGCCCUCAUAUCUGGGCAUAAAAGAAGGUAUAAAAGAUGUCCUCCUUUUCAGCAGUUGAAUAUCCUAGAUAAUUCCUGGCUUUGUUCUCGCACCUGUGGUUUUCAGGCUCCGUGUGUUUGACAGUGGCGUCAUGGUAAUUGAGCUUCAGUCUCACAAGGAAGAGGAAAUGGUGGCCUCGGCCCUGGAGACAGUUUCAGAAAAGGGAUCCCUAACAUCAGAAGAGUUUGCUAAGCUUGUGGGAAUGUCUGUCCUCCUAGCCAAAGAAAGGUAAGUAAGGUUCUUACCUUUCAUUACAAUGUAUGUUUGUGUGUCUGCAUGAACAGAUAAUUGUGUGGGGGUUUUUUUGUUGUUUUUUUUUAGGUUGCUGCUUGCAGAGAAGAUGGGCCAUCUUUGCCGUGAUGACUCAGUGGAAGGCCUGCGUUUUUACCCAAAUUUAUUUAUGACACAGAGCUAAGGGUUUUGUAUUUAAAAUCCUUUUUGUCCAUAUGCUUGCGUCAUGUAGAGGUUGUAUGACAUUGAGCUAAGAGAUAAACCCCGAUCAAUUGAGAAUUUAUUGGAACUUCACAGUGCAAUGUAAAUCUCUUUUAAUUUCUCACUAAAUAUGGUCCAGGAAAUUUAUUUAGUAUACGCAUAGGAAAAUUCAGAAAAGUGAAUGCCAAUAUGAAUUUAAAAUCAUGCUAUAGUGCAGAACCCUCAGAGUUUAACUUGGAAUAUAGUGGAUUUUAACUUGAUCCUCAAAUCUAAUCAUUUUAUAAAGAAGGGAAUUUAGUUUUGCAGAGAAUAAAAAGAGAAGUUGCAUGUUCAGACAGGUUAGAUUAUUAUUUUGGUGUAACUGAAAUUCACUGAUUGCACAUGACAAUGUUGGGACAAAAUAUACUGCAGCAUGCUAUAUGAGGCUCCUCCCCAGGGCUUUUAGAAGCAGUCAUAGACAUGUCUUCAACAUACCAAAUAAAAUACCUUUAAAAAUGAAAUAAUUUUAUUUGACACAUAUAUUUAUAUAUAUUCUAUCUAGUUUCUCUUUGUUUUUUUAAGUGAUGAUUUCAUGACUGGCAUUUAAAGAAUGCAACUGUGUCAUUUUGUUUCCAAAUGCUGUGGAUUUUGAAACUGAACUAGAGAGCUGUAUAGACAUGCCCAGAGUUAUGAUUACAAAUUUAGGAGGUAGACGGCUCAGGAAUUCCCUGGGAUUGUUGUGCUGGUGGAAUGGCAGAGGGAACUUCACAGGAACCUUAGUGUUCUUUUACCUCAAAGCCACAGACAGGAAAUAGAAAGUGGAAAAGUAAUAUCUCCUUUUCUUUUCCAUAAGGAGUUUCAACACUGAACUUUAAAAAGUCUAUCAUAUUCCAGCAAUAUUUUUUCUUUGUCCUUUAUGUUGUAAGUUGUGUGGAAAAACUACUUCGGUAAGAAAUGUUACUGAGAUAACAACAACUGGCUAAUACUGCAUGUAGAUUGCUUAGGUUUUAAAGUGACUGCCUGACUUCACAUGUUAUUGCUACAGCCUCCAGUAUGUUCGCAUUAUCUCAAACUCAGGGACCCCACAGGACAGGAGACACCCUUUCUGAAACUGAGUUGGAAGUGAAAGGGUGGUGAUGGUUUUGGCCAAGCCUGCGGGAGGGAAAGUAUUGUAUUGGGAGCACCCUUGGGACCAGGAAGAGGGAUGCCCAGGUUCACACUCUGGGACCCCUAAGACAUUGUCAGUGGGUAAGGUGGAGGGCCACUGCCAGAGGCUGCUGCAGUGCCCUCUGGGAAGUGCCAGGGACCCUCAGCUGCAGACCCAGGGGAUCCCAAUCCCUUAUCUCUGCCUGAAAAGUGGCUAUUGCUGCUUCGUAUCCUCCAGUGUCACAGGAAUGCUGUGCCUGAGACAUCCCACUUUAGUUUUUGUUUUCCAAACCUGUCACUGACUCUUCAUUGUGGUGACAGAUCCUCUGGUUCCCCCAUUGCUCAGCCUCAGGUUUAUUUUGAGGGUAACUCAGUGUCUGACUGCCCAAGUCUUUUAGGGGUUAGUUGGACCAUUGUGUAAGCUUGUUUGUAUGUCUCACCUCUUUCUGGUUGGUACUUACUGUCUCACACUGCUCUGGCAAACUUGUACACACACACACACUCUCUCUCUCUCUCACCUGGCUAAGGCUUUUAAAAUUAUGAAGAUAAAUAAUCUGUUUCACCAGCUGGAGUGAGUUGCAAGGAAGAUUGCUGGAGCUACUCAAUCUAGCGCUAAUGGUUUGGAUUCAUUACUGCAAACCUACAUAAUUUAACAUAUUUGUUUACUUUAGUGUGACAACUGAUGAAAAAAAAUGGAGCAAUCUGAAUUGUAUAAAAUAACUUAAGAAGGAAGAAAAGUGAUAUAUAAAUAUAUUUUGCAAAUGUCACAUUAAUUUAAAAAUGAGUAUGAUUGAUUUUAUUUUUAAAGUGGGCAUUCUUCACUGUUUCGAGACCUUUGUAUGUAUUUGUGUAUUUUUAUCUUUUUUUUUCAGGCCAUUAUUAUAAGGUGUUAUUUUGGCCCUCUAAUGUAGAAGUUAUGUUUAAAUACAACCAAUCAGGCCCUAAGUGCAAAAAAGUUCUGUCUUGGUGCUUAUCACUGGUAUAAUUAUUAUUUUUUUGUUUUCCUAACUUUGCUCUUAGGAGCAUGAGCCUCUUUGUAGCUUUAUGGUAAUGCAAUAUUUCUGGUCAUUUACUGUCAAAAAAUUUUUUUACAUUGUGUUAGUGAAGACUGUGUUUUCAGGGUUAAAUGAUUGGUAUCAAUGUAUAUAGAGUAAAAUUAUUGCAAAAUUUAAAAAUGAUUUUUCUUGGCAUUCUUUUUAAAUACUCUGAAACAUAUAUGCAAAUGAGAAACCUUUAAUCAUACUAAAGCCAGUUAUGUUAAGAAUUUUUCCUUUGGAUUUUAUAAUUAAGAGUUGCUUAUAAAUACUUAUGACAUUGAGCUCUUACUGUUUUAGUUGUCUUAAAACAAUGGGACAUGUCAUGAACUGGUUUCUUUUUUUAAAAAAUUCUUGAUGUGAAUUCCACUGUUACCUGACCAUGUAUAUUCAGAUGAAUGUACUCUUUCUUGUUCCUUGUUACCAGAUUAAUCUGAGAGAAUGUGGAUUCAUCCUGUCAUCUUUCUCAUACUCAAAUACUUAAAAUGGUUCUUUUGCCCAAAAGUCUCAGAGUCUUCAUUUUGGUACAGUGGAGUCACAACUUGUAAGGUGGUUAGGUUUUAAAGACCGUGCCUAAGGACAAAAUUGAGCAUGCUCAGAAUGGUCCUUGAAAAUCUCCUAAAUUACCAAUAAAUUUCUCUUUGUAGUCUUAAAGUUUAAAUCCCUGUGGAGUGAUAUGUAGGUAUGAAUAUAUUAUGCUUAUAUUAAGUACAAAAAUACAAACUGCAUAUCAAGAGAUUCUUAUAGCAUUAAUAAUUUCCAUGCAUGUGUCUUUUUCCAGUAGGUAUGGUUGAAUUUAUGUAAAUUUAUUGCUAAUCCCAUCCCUUACGAUCUAGAGUAUAAGCUGCGCAAGGGCAGAAGUUUUUAUCUGGUUUGUUCAUGGAUGUAUUCUAAGAGCUGAGAACAGGGCCUGGACACAAUAAGCAUUCAAUAAAUAUUUACUGAAUGAAUGAACUCCUACCUAUAUUCCUAUUUAUAAUUUGGCUCCACUUUAUCCUACUUUAGCUCCC
rnacentral:lncRNA from 10 species